AAACCAUGAUGAGUACAUUUGCAUAGGAGAUCCUUGAAUCCUUCAUGAGCCUCAAAGAGUGUCUCAAAAUCCCCCUACCUGAAAGCUGAAAUCUCUUGCCUUGGUCU